GAUUCUCCUGGCUCAGCCUCCAGAGUUGCUGGGAUUACAGGCGUGCCCCACUGUGCCCGGUUCCUUCCUUCUCUUUCUUCUUCAUGGUCACAAUAAAAUGUCAGGGGGGACAGACCUCAUUAGCCCAGGUCUCUGUCUUAGGGUCAGCCUGGGUCUGACAGAGUGACAGCAAGCACUCCCGUGAAGGUGAACAGAGCCCGAAUGUUGCUAGGUGCACAGGUAUUUGGCAUCCCUCCUCUGUGUGGUUCCUGUUCCUCCUUUCUGGUCUGAGUCUGGCCUAAUACAGUGUUUUCUCAGUGAGGCUGGGAAGUGAGGAUCUCAUCAUGUCUAACCUGCUGGACCCUAGGACACACGCCAGGUGUUAGCCACUAGGCAGGCACUAUGAGAGAAGAUUCCCUGUGCUCCACGGGAAAGGGCUGCUUCCCCUUCAAAGGCUGUUAACCGGCUUAGUCAAAGUUCUUUGUAUUUAAUUCAGAUAAAGCCAUCCAGAGACACUUAGAGGAGCCAGCCAAGAUGGCUGAGUCACUCAAUGCACUCUUUUUUAGGGGACCUAGUGUAAACUCUGUCCAUUGUACUACUAAAUUGCGCACCCAGAGGCAUCUCUGUGCACCACUUUUUGUGAUCAUGUGAUGGGUGACCGUGAACCGAGCAUGCACAGUAACUGCCCACCUCCACGUAUGCUGAUGAAUCUGCAUGAAUGCAUGAAUAUGCAUGAAGUCUCCCCAAUAACAGCCCUUUACUUUCUUUGUUCGGGGAGCUACUGCUUUGAGACUUCCCUCCAGUGCACUUCUUACCUGCUGCAAGUAACACACCUUUCCUUACUCUUUUCACUCAUGGUUGGGAUGAUCAGCUUGUUCCUCACCAAGGGGCAAACCCAUCGUGUUUGGUUGUGAGAGGACAGGCAGCCCAUCCAAUGCGUUCCUUUACAGCGAGAGUGAAAGAGGCAGAGAGAUUCCCACUCCAUCUCUUCAGCUGCACCUGUUCAUCUGUGGGCAACAUGGAUGCACCUUCACUGUGAACUUGGGAGAACCUGGUAGGAGAAUUUUCAAGCAGGGUAGAGACACUCCUGAAGAGCGCUCGCUUAAGGGAGCAUCAGGGGAUAAAGACAGAGCCUUUGGAACCAAACAGUCUCAAGUUAACUUUCAGGCUUCUUUGGCUACUUGCUGUGUACUUUUGAGCAAUUCCUUCACCUCUCUGAGCCUGGAUUUCCCCUGUCUGCAUGCUAUACAAAGUAGGCUUUACCCCUAGAUUUCUGUAGGAAUUAAGUAAGAUCAUUUAUGAAGCAUCUAGGACCAUGACUAACAUCUACUACAUAUUCGAUAGAUAUUAAUUCCUUUUCAUGUCUUGGAGCUCUUUGAAUCACUUAACUUACUCAUAUAUAGUAGCCUUGAGAGAUAUCAAUUUAAUUUAAUAUAUUUGUUAUCAUGCAUUUGUAUCAAUAUCUUAUUACUAUGUAACAUACAGUGAUCAUGUGUUAAUAUUUUACUAUAUUAAAAUAAUGAAUAUUUGAUAUUGGUCAAACACACCUAAUGAACAUAUGUUGGGUGUCUAUUACGUGUGAAGCAUGAGAAUCAUUGGCCUAUUCAUUGCAACUCAGGUGAUUUAAGCAUUUU
rnacentral:lncRNA from 1 species